rnacentral:rRNA from 1 species
GACGAACGCUGGCGGCGUGCUUAACACAUGCAAGUCGAACGGAAAGGCCCUGCUUUUGUGGGGUGCUCGAGUGCCGAACGCGUGAGUAACACGUGAGUAACCUGCCCUUGACUUUCGGAUAACUUCAGGAAACUGGGGCUAAUACCGGACAGGAUCUCCUGCUGCGUGGUGGGCGUUGGAUCUUCUCGGCGUUCGGGGAUGGACUCGCGGCUUAUCAGCUUGUUGGUUGGGUAGUGGCUUACCAAGGCAUUGACGGGUAGCCGGCCUGAGAGGGGGACCGGCCACAUUGGGACUGAGAUAGGGACCAGAGUCCAACGGGAGGCAGUAGUGGCGAAUAUUGCACAAUGGGAGGGAGCCUGAUGAAGCAACGCCGGGGGCGGGAUGACGGCCUUCGGGUUGUAAACCGCUUUAGCCUGUGACGAAGCGUGAGUGACGGUAAUGGGUAAAGAAGCACCGGCUAACUACGUG